GAUGAACGCUAGCUACAGGCUUAACACAUGCAAGUCGAGGGACCGGCGCACGGGUGAGUAACACGUAUCCAACCUGCCCUUUACUCGGGGAUAGCCUUUCGAAAGAAAGAUUAAUACCCGAUAUAAAGGAUGGGGAUGCGUUCCAUUAGGUUGUUGGUGAGGUAACGGCCAACCAAGCCUUCGAUGGAUAGGGGUUCUGAGAGGAAGGUCCCCCACAUUGGAACUGAGGCACUGUCCAAACUCCUACGGGAGGCAGCAGUGAGGUAGAUCUGGAAAUGGGCGGUAGCCUGAAACAGCCAAGUAGCGUGAAGGAUGAAGGCUUAUGGGUCGUAAACUUCUUUUAUAUAAGAAUAUGUAUUAUAUGAAUAAGGAUCGGCUAACUCCGUGCCAGCAGCCGCGGUAAUAC
rnacentral:rRNA from 1 species